rnacentral:tRNA from 1 species
GGUGGCUCAGUGGUAGAGUGCUUGCCUUGCAAGCAUGAGGCCCUGGGUACGAUUCCUCAGCACCA